CAGGGGUUGGAACUAGCUAUUAAAAUGGUCAUCACCAGACCAAGGCUCAAUUGAGUCAUGGAAGGAGAAAUCAGAAAUAAACUGCACAACGACGUGGCUGGUGACCCACUUCACCUCUCCUUGCUAAACACUGGAGAAUCAUGCAAAGACUUUGAUGUAACAGAUUGACCUCUAACAGCAACCAUGGGCAUCAGUGAUGAGAAAACCUGUGUUGAGACAGCACUGGCUGGACCCCACAGAGUGUGUGCAUGUUUGCAGUGAGGAUGAACUCUUCCACCUUGAAAGCACAGAUGACAUGGCA